UACGUAGGGUGCGAGCGUUAAUCGGAAUUACUGGGCGUAAAGCGUGCGCAGGCGGUUUGUUAAGACAGAUGUGAAAUCCCCGGGCUUAACCUGGGAACUGCAUUUGUGACUGGCAAGCUAGAGUAUGGCAGAGGGGGGUAGAAUUCCACGUGUAGCAGUGAAAUGCGUAGAGAUGUGGAGGAAUACCGAUGGCGAAGGCAGCCCCCUGGGCCAAUACUGACGCUCGUGCACGAAAGCGUGGGGAGCAAACAGG
rnacentral:rRNA from 1 species